UAUUCUAGCUUGUGAGACCAGGCUCCAUUUUUCAUUAAUGGAAACUUCCCUUUGAUUUAGGGAGAAGAAGGCAGUUCGGGUAAAGGAUGAAAAGAUUGAGGGCUUAGAAGAACAGCUUGGAAAACUAAUGGCCCAAAUGGAUGGUGAGAGUGAAGUCUCAGAGACGAAAGAGGUCCAGGACGCCACUGUCUUGCCCUUGCCGACCACCAGUAACUCUUCUUCUGCGUCAGGGAAUGUUAUACAUGCAAAUAAAAAGAAGAGUAACAGAAGAAAGGGUUAGAUCAAGAUUCAGGCUCCAAUUUUUAGAACCAUCGCUUAGGCUAGUAGACUAAAGUUGAAGCAAUUUGACGACUGUGAAUAUCUCUAGAGAUCUAACUAUUAAUUCGUGUUAUGAUGUGUGCAGCCCCAGCCCAAUAUAUUUAGGAGCUUUUUGUUAAAAAAACAUUUUUGGCCCAUUAUUAAUGAAAACAAAGUUUUUCUUACUCAA